AUUGAACGCUGGCGGCAUGCCUUACACAUGCGAGUCGAACGGUAACAGGUCUUCGGAUGCUGACGAGUGGCGAACGGGUGAGUAAUACAUCGGAACGUGCCUAGUAGUGGGGGAUAACUACUCGAAAGAGUGGCUAAUACCGCAUGAGAUCUACGGAUGAAAGCAGGGGAUCGCAAGACCUUGUGCUACUAGAGCGGCCGAUGGCAGAUUAGGUAGUUGGUGGGAUAAAAGCUUACCAAGCCGACGAUCUGUAGCUGGUCUGAGAGGACGAUCAGCCACACUGGGACUGGGACACGGCCCAGACUCCUACGGGAGGCAGCAGUGGGGAAUUUUGGACAAUGGGCGCAAGCCUGAUCCAGCAAUGCCGCGUGCAGGAUGAAGGCCUUCGGGUUGUAAACUGCUUUUGUACGGAACGAAAAGCCCUGGGUUAAUACCCUGGGGUCAUGACGGUACCGUAAGAAUAAGCACCGGCUAACUACGUGCCAGCAGCCGCCGUAAGAC
rnacentral:rRNA from 1 species